GACGAACGCUGGCGGCGUGCUUAAUACAUGCAAGUCAACUGAACUUAAGAUAGCAAUAUUUUAAGGGAGGUGGCGCACGGGUGAGUAACACGUAGGUAAUCUGCCUUUAGGUCUGACACAACCCCGAGAAAUCGGGGCUAAUAUCAGAUGAUGCAGCGGCUCGACAUCGAGACAGUUGUUAAACCUUCGGGGCCUAAAGAUGAGCCUGCGUCUGAUUAGGUAGUUGGCGGAGUAAAAGCCCACCAAGCCUGCGAUCAGUAGCUGGUCUGAGAGGAUGAUCAGCCACACUGGAACUGAGACACGGUCCAGACUCCUACGGGAGGCAGCAGUAAGGAAUAUUGCUCAAUGGCCGAAAGGCUGAAGCAGCAACGCCGCGUGGAGGAUGAAAUACUUUUGUAUGUAAACUCCUGUAAGAAGGGAAAAUAUUCCGAUUUAUCGGGAUUGAUUGUACCUUCAGAGUAAGCCCCGGCUAACUACGUGCC
rnacentral:rRNA from 1 species